CCUCUCUUGCAGUGGAGUUGCCAGAAGGCACUACAGCCAGCAGCACACAGGGGGAAGCAGUUCCCUCCACAUCAGAGCAUCAGAUAGCCAUCAUGGAAUACGUUCCCAAAAAGAUGGGACUGCUUCAAAAGAAGGUGGAUAGCAAAUUAAUGGGUCUGUUCACAAAAGGCUAUCAACCUUUCUCUAUUGUAAAUGACUCGGGAUUUUGUAAUUUUGUACAUGCACUGAAUCCUGCAUAUGAAAUCCUGAGUAGGACUGUGACAAAUGUAAUGUUGCCAGCAGCAUAUGCAGAAGCAAAUGAGAAAGUACAACAAAAGCUGCAAGGCAUAAAGACAAUCUCUAUAACACCAGAUUGCUGGACAUCAACUUCCAAUGAAAGUUGUAUGGCUGUGAGUGGACACUUCAUAAAUGAACAAUUCAGAUUACAGUCUCUACUGCUGGAAUACAAUCAUUUCAGUGGUUUCCAUACCAGCUCAAAUUUGUCCACAGCUUUGAUAAAAAUUACAGAAAAAUUUAGUCUUGGUGGCAAAAUUUUAAUGGUGGUCUCGGACAAUGCACCAAAUAUAAAAAAUGGAGUUUCCACCAUUCUCAAGUGGAAACAUUUUGGUUGUUAUGCCCAUACUCUUGAUUUAGUUGUGCAGGAUGAACUUAAAAAUGUCCUGGAAGUUCACCAGAAAGUCAAGACAAUUGUAGGUUUUUUAAAAGAAGCAGCAGUGCAACAGAGUGGCUCUUAACAUGCCAACAGAACAGUGGCAAAGUUAACAUCAAGAAAUUGAUACAGGACUUGCCCACAAGGUGGAAUUCAACCCUGUUUGUUGGAACGUAUUGUUGAAUUAUCAGAGGCAGUAAAAAUUACAGUUGCCCUUUGUAACAGGCCCACAGAACUUCCAUCACUGUCAAAUGAUGAGUGGGAAAUCUGCUCCGAACUCUGUUCGAUUCCGAAACCGUUUGAGCAGGUUUCGAGGUAGCUCAGUGCAGAGGAGUACCCAACUGACAGCUUGGUUAUAGUCCUGACACAUGGCCUUCUGGCAGUGUGUGAUGAAAUAGCCGAAAUGCGGUUACAUGAAGUUUCAAUGAAAGUUGUUGAUGCAUUGAAAGAGGGGCUUACAAACCGGUUUUCGAAUCUUGAGCAGAGCAAAUCCGUAGCCCUUGCUACCCUGCUGGAUCCACGAUUCAAAUUGCUGACAUUUCAGAACCAGACAGCAGCAGACAACACGAAGAAACAGUUAAUUAAUAUUGUUGCCCAGAGACUGGAAAAAUGUAGGCCAGUAGGUAUUCAGCCUUCACAAAAACCUGCUGAGCCAAAUAAUUUGGCAACUGAGUCCUCUCUGUGGGGCAUAUUUGAUAAGCUAGUGAAACAUGCACAGCCACAGGGCACAGUACAGUCACGUGCUAUUGUAGAGGUUCAAAGGUAUGUUGACAGCUCAGUCAUCAGUAGAAAUGAGGAUCCUCUGGCAUGGUGGAGACAAAAUCAGUACAUAUACCCAACCAUUGCAAAAGAAGUGCAAGAGAGAUUCAAUGUUGUAGCAACUUCUGUGCCUUGUGAGAGGGUGUUCACUAAAAGUGGACAUUUAAUAAAUGACAGAAGAACCCGCCUCAAGCCAUUGAACAGAAGCUGAAAAUUGUGGACCCGUGUGAGGUUUGCUUCCAUGGAGGUAACUAGGCACUUCCAACACAACCAAACAAGACCAAACAACUGUAUGAUGCCUAGCAAUAUUACAACGUGUGUGUGUGUGUGUGUGUGUGUGUGUGUGUCCAGUAUGUAGAUGAAACAUUUUAUUCUUCUAGUACAUAUGUUGUCAUGAAAAAAAAAACUGAACUCAUUUGUAUUUUGAUCACAGGCAGGUAACUGGGCACUUUCAACACAAGCGAACAAGACCACACAACUGUAUGAUGCCUAGGAAAAUGUAAAAUAUGUAACUGGGCACUUUCAACACAACCAAACAGACCUCACAACUGUAUGAUGAUUAGCAAAAUGUAAAAUAUGUGAGUAUUUUGGUGUUUCAUAAUUCAUGCUAAGAAUAAUUUUGCCGGAAUAAGUUAUUUAGGAAGUAUGGGAUAUAACUAGGAACAUGCAUGAAAUGAAAUGUUUGGGCUCGGAUUCACUUUGUAACUGUGCAAAGUUAAGUGUUAUAAUGUAUUGUACUAAGAUAUGAUUUUUCAAUAUUGUUUUGACGGAUCAACAUAUAGUAUAACAGAGCAUAAUCCUUACACAAUAAAGGCUCACAAACAAGUCAUUUGUCAUACACUGUGGGCUUACUAAAAUUCAAUUUUUUUAUCUUGUGUUGCAGAUACUUUUCAUUUACUGCAAGUAUUUCACUUUGGCAUAAAUGUGAGUUACAUCUCUAGCAUUAAAAGAUUGGUAACACAGACCAUUGAUAUCACUUCCAAGACUGUGUUUUCCUUGUCAUACUAGUUUCUGUUUGUUGAAAAACACACAUUUAGUUUUGUUGAUAUAUGCACAGUAAUGAACAAUUUAAUGAGGCAGAGACCACAUAUAUUUAUCCAGAAUUUCAUCAUCCACUACUACAUUUAAAUCUUAUAGAUCAUUAACUAUUUGUUCAUUCAAUUGUCCACAGAAAGGUGACAGAGGAACAGGUCAUACUGGGAGCAGUAUCAGUCUGUGACUUGGAUGGAGCAGUUACUGAUUUGAUACCAUUAAAGCACAUAAGCUUUGUAAUGAUUAAGAUGAUGAGUCCAUGUAAAUACUGGAAGUUUUAUUUCUUUAUACUAAAACUUGCUACUUUAAGUUAUGUUUCAGAAAUAUCUUCAGCACCUCGACUUGAAAAAUAACAGGAAUACCAUCUAGAAUAUUACAAGUGAGGACAGUGAGUCAAUGAUAAUCCAUGAGCUUAGGUUGAAGGAAAAUAAAUUCUAUAUAUCUAAUAAAAGUUGAUUAUAAUGUGUGAUGUUGUAGACAAAUAAUAAUCUGUUUUGUGCUAUCUUUUACAUAAUGAACUUGGUGACAACAUGUGGAGCAAAACUGGAAUGAGCAAAGAAUACCAACCAAGUUUAAGACCCAAAAACCAGAAAGAGCCACGACCCGUGGUGGAACACACCCAUGUUUGAAAAAUUUGUUCCAAAUGCACAGUGAUUUUUUUUAUUUUAUUUUAUUUUAUUUGUUGAUGUACACAGUUGAUAACGUCCUACUGGGGUUUUGAGGAGCUGGUUUUCCUUCACUGUUGGCAAAUGCCAGGACAUAUGAGAAGUUUCCAGCUCAGAAAAUGCUGUAGAUAAAUACCAAAAGAAAACUGCUUCCUGUAACAUCUUUUAUUAAAAAUGUGUCAUAAUGCAAUUUGUAACUUUUCUAAAUAUUUGCAGUCUGUGUAACUUGUAAAACUGAAUU